rnacentral:lncRNA from 1 species
GGACAUACAUUGAUUUCAUCCAAUAAAAGAGUGAGUUGCUAGCAUUUCUCAUGCGGUCAACUAGUAUAUACGAAGAAAGUAUGCCCGAUUAACAAAAUUAAAGAGAAAGAGGAACCAUUGCUUGCAACGUUAAAAUUGACAAACCCUUUAUUGACUGUGGUUGCUAACGUCAUUUGAUUUAUGAUCAAUAUAUUUUUCGAAGAGCUCCACAAGCU